rnacentral:rRNA from 1 species
UACGUAGGGGGCAAGCGUUGUCCGGAUUUAUUGGGCGUAAAGAGCUCGUAGGCGGUUCCGUAAGUCGGGUGUGAAAAAUCUGGGCUCAACCCAGUGGAGCACCCGAUACUGCGGUGACUCGAGUCCGGUAGGGGAGUGUGGAAUUCCUGGUGUAGCGGUGAAAUGCGCAGAUAUCAGGAGGAACACCGACGGCGAAGGCAGCACUCUGGGCCGGUACUGACGCUGAGGUGCGAAAGCGUGGGGAGCAAACAGG